GCCCAGGCCGCGGCUCCGGCCCCUGUGGACGGGGGCCGUGACUCCGGGCCGCGACGCUGUCCUACGCUGCGAGGGCCACGUGCCCGACGUCUCCUUCCUGCUGCUACGGUCCGGCGAAGAGGAGCCCUCGGCGGUGGUCUGGACCACCCACCCCUCCGCGGACCUCGUGCUGACCUACGUGGGGCCCCAACACGCCGGCAACUACAGCUGCGGCUACCGCUCCAACUGGCCCCACUCCCUGCUGUCCCAGCUCAGCGACCCGGUGGAGCUCCAAGUGGCAGGAAGCUGAUCCAGCUGCAGACCCAGGCUGCUGAUGGUAUCCUUGGGAAGUCCUUUCUCCAGCCUGGCUCUGAUCCCUCUUCCUGCAGCUGGAAGCUGGACUUGCCCUGGGGGGAGAGGGCAGGGACGGCUCUCCCUCAACCACGCCAGAAUCAAUAAAUGGGAAGACAGACUUUAAAAA